AAGACGUGUACUCAACUAGCUGUGGUCAUCUGCUUCUGCAGUGCUGCAGGGCUGCCAGGGCCUCCAGGCCAGCUCCAGGCUCACUACACAAGUGACCUCUCUGCAGCUGUUGUCAGGACUUGGGUUCAUCUGGGGCAAAAAGACAUGAGGGCUCCCCAUACACAGGUUUCUCUGGAAGGCUCCUGGCUGUAACAGCAACGCUCCCUCCCACUUGCCCUGAGGCCCCCAUUAUCAGCAAGCUUGCAGCAAACCACCCCUGUCCAUGCAAACCCACAGUGUGAAACUGGAAAUUGAGAAAUAAAUUGUGGAGGUAAACUCUAUUCCCAGAGGCUGAACCCACUGCUGCAGUGGCCGCAGAGAAACAAAACCCACAUGUAAAAUGAGGAGCAAGCCAACAGCAGUGUGUACUUCCACAGCUGCUCAACAUAACUUCAAACAAGAAGCACCGGCUCCAAGACAGGAGGAAAGGGGGAAAUCACAUUCCUUUCUCAGGCCAUUUUAGUUAUUACCUGCUGUGACUGUAAAACUGAAGUUUUCCACCAAGAGAUUUCGAGAGACUCACCACCCCCAGGACCAGCUCCCGAGGAGAUGCAGGCAUCACAGCUGCUGCCUCCUCCUGCCACCUCUCCCAGGCAUUUUCUGAACAGCCUCUCUCAAGUCAUGUGCGAAGACAGCCCUGGCUCCCACGAAGGGGCACCUUCCUGGCUGCCCCACAGAGC
rnacentral:lncRNA from 1 species